AUGAAUGUAGCAAGAUGUUGGAAAUAACUAGUUUUGGUAGUUUGGAAGUGAUCAUCUUUUGGUCAAAUUUGUAUGGUAUCUGUUACUUGGGAAAAUGGUCAUUUGGUAUUGGUUGUGUAUGCAUUUUGGUAUAUGAAGAUAUGGAUAAAAGUGGCUUUGUAAUUGUUCAAUUGGUACAUUUAGUGAAUGAAAUGGUUAGGUGUUAG
rnacentral:lncRNA from 1 species